rnacentral:lncRNA from 1 species
AUGCCGCACCUUUCCAUCCUAGAAGCCUUAUUUUACAAACCUUAACCCUAGCCCAUUGUUUCAAUCUGAUUUCAUUAGGGUUUUAGGUGCCUAUAUAUAUGUGUUUUACUCCUUUGGCCGAAUAUCCACCCUCUACACAAUUCAGAAAUUCAUCCAACCUUAUUUCCCCACCUUGCCGCAGCCAUCAUCACCCUUAGAACCCCUAGCCGCCACUCCUCCA